GCGGUGAGAGAGCUUGCUUCUCUUGAGAGCGGCGGACGGGUGAGUAAUGCCUAGGAAUCUGCCUGGUAGUGGGGGAUAACGUUCGGAAACGGACGCUAAUACCGCAUACGUCCUACGGGAGAAAGCAGGGGACCUUCGGGCCUUGCGCUAUCAGAUGAGCCUAGGUCGGAUUAGCUAGUUGGUGAGGUAAUGGCUCACCAAGGCGACGAUCCGUAACUGGUCUGAGAGGAUGAUCAGUCACACUGGACUGAGACACGGUCCAGACUCCUACGGGAGGCAGCAGUGGGGAUAUUGGACAAUGGGCGAAAGCCUGAUCCAGCCAUGCCGCGUGUGUGAGGAGUCUUCGGAUUGUA
rnacentral:rRNA from 1 species